rnacentral:tRNA from 1 species
GCAGUGGUGGUUUGAUGGUAGAAUUCUCACCUCCUGUGUGGGAGACUGGGGUUCGAUUCCUAGCCAAUGCA